rnacentral:rRNA from 1 species
UACGGAGGGUGCGAGCGUUGUUCGGAAUUAUUGGGCGUAAAGCGCACGUAGGCGGCCUGGUAAGUCUCACUGUGAAAGCCCGGGGCUCAACCCCGGGAGGCCAGGGGAUACUGCAAGGCUGGAGACAGGUAGAGGCUGGUAGAAUUCCGGGUGUAGCGGUGGAAUGCGUAGAGAUCCGGAGGAAUACCUGAGGCGAAGGCGGCCAGCUGGGCCUGAUCUGACGCUGAGGUGCGAAAGCGUGGGGAGCGAA